AUGGUGGCAGAUAGCCCCAAAGCACCAUCAGUCUAUCCCCUGACACCCAAAUCCAGAGAAGCAUCUGACUCCAUGGUGACCUUGGGCUGCAUGGUCAAGGACUUCUUCCCGGAGCUGGUGGCAGUAUCCUGGCCCUCUGUCCCCCAGGCUGAUGUGCACACCUUCACACCCAUGCGGCAUUCGUCUGGCCUCUACUCCCUCAUCAGCAUGGUCACCAUGCCCUCUAGCAGCUGGCCCAGCCAGGAUUAUGCCUGCAGUGUCACCCACAUGCCCAGCGAGACCAAAGUGGACAAGAAGAUCGCUCCUGAAAAUCUGGGAGGACCCUCCGUCUUCAUCUUCCCACCCAAGCCCAAGGACACCCUCAUGAUGUCCCGAAACCCGGAGGUGACGUGUCUGGUGUUGGAUGUGGGCCAGGACGAACCCGAAGUCCAGUUCAGCUGGUUUGUGGACGGCACAGAGGUGCACACAGCCAAGGAUGGGCCACAGGAGGAGCAGUACAAUGGCACCUCCCGCGUGGCCAGUGUACUCCCCAUCCUGCACCAGGACUGGCUCUCGGGCAAGGAGUUCAAGUGCAUUGUCAACAACGGGGCCCUUCCUGCCCCUGCUGUAAGGACCAUCUCCAAGGCCAAGGGACAGCCUCGGGCCCCUCAAGUGCACACCAUGGCCCCAGUCAUUCUUGAGAAUGACAAGAACAUGGUCAGCAUCAUCUGCAUGGUGAAGGGAUUCUACCCUGAGAACAUCAAUGUGGAGUGGAUGAGCAAUGAGCGGCCUGAGCCUGAGGCCAACUAUGUGAACACACCUCCCCAAGAGGAGGGUGAUGGGACCUUCUUCUUGUACAGUAAGCUGACGGUGCCUAGGAACGACUGGGAACGAGAGACGACUUUCAACUGCGUGGUGAUGCACGAGGCCCUGCACAACCACUACACCCAGAAGGCAGUCGCUCAGUCCCCGGAGCUGCAACCAGAUGAGAGUUGCACAGAGGCCCAGGAGGGGGAGCUGGACGGACUGUGGACCACCAUCACCAUCUUCAUCACCCUCUUCCUGCUCAGCGUGUGUUACAGCGCUACCGUCACCCUCUUCAAGGUAAACUGGAUCUUCUCUUCUGUGGUGGAACUGAAACGCACCAUCGUGCCCAACUACAGAAACAUGAUCGGCCAGGCAGCCUAG